rnacentral:rRNA from 1 species
UACGUAGGGGCAAGCGUUGUCCGGAAUCAUUGGGCGUAAAGCGCGCGUAGGCGGCCCGGUAAGUCCGCUCUGAAAGUCCAGGCUCAACCCGGAAAGCGGGUGGAUACUGCCGGGCUAGAAUCCGGAAGAGGCGAGUGGAAUUCCUGGUGUAGCGGUGGAAUGCGCAGAUAUCAGGAGGAACACCAAUAGCGAAGGCAGCUCGCUGGGACGGUAUUGACGCUAAGGCGCGAAAGCG